rnacentral:misc_RNA from 1 species
AGAGAGUUUAGUAAGAAUGUCAGCUAAUUGGUCAUUCGAACUAACAAAACUAGUAGCAAUACCUCCAAACUUUAUUUUUUGUCCAAUAAAGUGACAAUCUAUCUCUAUGUGCUUCAUCCUCCCAUGAAACACAAGAUUAGAACCGAUAUGUAGUACAACUUGAUUGUCACAAAUCAGCUACAUUUGUUCAUCACCUCCACAUUUUAACUCUAAAGAAGCUGCUUUAACCAUAUAAAAUCGCAUGUAGCUAAAGCCACCCACUACUCUUCUUCUUCUCCUUCUUCUUUU